AACGAACGCUGGCGGCAGGCCUAACACAUGCAAGUCGAGCGAGCAUUUCGGUGCUAGCGGCGGACGGGUGAGUAACGCGUGGGAACGUGCCCUUUUCUGCGGAAUAGUCCUGGGAAACUGGGGGUAAUACCGCAUACGCCCUUUUGGGGAAAGAUUUAUCGGAGAAGGAUCGGCCCGCGUUGGAUUAGGUAGUUGGUGGGGUAAUGGCCCACCAAGCCGACGAUCCAUAGCUGGUUUGAGAGGAUGAUCAGCCACACUGGGACUGAGACACGGCCCAGACCUCUACGGGAGGGAGGAAAGGGGGAUCCUAAAACAAGGGGGGAACCCUGAACCUGCCCUGGCGGGGGAGGGAUUAAAGGCUUAAGGUUGGAAAGCUCCUUUAGCUGGGAAGGUUAUGACGGUACCAAGAGAAGAAGCCCCGGCUAACUCCGUG
rnacentral:rRNA from 1 species